rnacentral:rRNA from 1 species
CAGGUCUUGACAUCCUCUGACAAUCCUAGAGAUAGGACUUUCCCCUUCGGGGGACAGAGUGACAGGUGGUGCAUGGUUGUCGUCAGCUCGUGUCGUGAGAUGUUGGGUUAAGUCCCGCAACGAGCGCAACCCUUGUUCUUAGUUGCCAGCAUUUAGUUGGGCACUCUAAGGAGACUGCCGGUGACAAACCGGAGGAAGGUGGGGAUGACGUCAAAUCAUCAUGCCCCUUAUGACCUGGGCUACACACGUGCUACAAUGGAUGGUACAAAGAGUCGCAAACCCGCGAGGGCUAGCUAAUCUCAUAAAGCCAUUCUCAGUUCGGAUUGUAGGCUGCAACUCGCCUACAUGAAGCCGGAAUCGCUAGUAAUCGCGGAUCAGCAUGCCGCGGUGAAUACGUUCCC